CCUACGGGAGGCAGCAGUGGGGUAUAUUCCACAAUGGGCGAAAGCCUGAUGCAGCAACGCCGCGUGAGUGAGGAAGUUCUUCGGUAUGUAAAGCUCUAUCAGCAGGGAAGAAAAUGCGGGUACCUGACUAAGCACCUCUUGCUAACUACGAACCAGCAGCCGACGUCUAACGUCGGGCGAACGCGUUAUCCGGAAUUACUGGGGGAAAAGGGAGCGUAGAUGGCUAAUCAAGUCAGAAGUGAAAGCCCAGGGCUCAACCGUGGGAAUGAAGUUGAAACUGAAGAGCGAGAGUGCAGGAGAGGUAAGCGGAAUUCCUAGUGUAGCGGUGAAAUGCGUAGAUAGAAGGAGGAACACCAGUGGCGAAGGCGGCUUACUGGACUGUAACUGACGUUGAGGUGCGAAAGCGUGGGGAGCAAACAGGAUUAGAUACCCCUGUAGUC
rnacentral:rRNA from 1 species